AAUACAAAAAGUGAAGCUGUUCGAUUACCCACUAACUAAGCUUCUACCAACAAGACUGGGAUUUACUACUACCAUACUUCUCGAUCUCUCGGGGGUGAGCCGUCACCCUACAUCCAGUCUUGACGGAAAACCCGUCAUCACUUGGAAGGAGAUAGCGAGAGUCCUAUUCCUCCUUUACUGCGACCAACUGUACACGAACUGACCUUCCUCCAUUUAGGGACCUGAAAAAUGUUAGCCCACUAAGGGGUGAGAUCACAUCUCAGUGAGUAAAUCCCCUAAAUCCAUAUUAGGAGAAGGGUACACUCAACAUGCAAUCUAAUCGCCUUUCUCACACUUUCUUAAUACCUGUACUUUCCUGCAUGUUAGUGUCAAUUAAAUCAUGCAUAAGAUAUCGAGAUCAUAUAUCAUCAGAAUACUUUUAACACAUACAUAUGUAAGGACAUAAAUGUCACAUACUUACCCGGGCCCCCAAUUACCAAACUAAACCGUUAUAGCAUGUCCCAUACCGCACCACACAGUUCCGUCUUUUAAUUAGGUCCCUCACUUUCACCCAUUCAUGCGUCACAAAUGAUUUCAAUGCUCAAAUAACAGUCUUCCGGCAUAACCGAGCAUUUCAUGUGUCACAAAUUAUUUCAAUGUUCAGAUAACAGUCUUCCGGCAUAACCGGGCAUUUCAUGUGUUACAAAUGAUUUCAAUGCUCAGAUGACAGUCUUCCGGCGUAACCGAGCUUUUCAUGUGUCACAAAUGAUUUCAAUGCUCAGAUGACAGUCUUCUGGUGUAACCAAGCAUCACCUCGCAUUGUCGAGCGCCGCGUCGUCUACAUCUAAACGGCAUUCCAUAUAGGAGCAUCGGUCCAGCCUCCACUGCGAUCGGCAUCCGUUGACGUGG
rnacentral:lncRNA from 1 species